UUUUUUUAAGGAAAUAAUUACAUUAUAAUCGUUUGAUUGUACAAUUAUUACAGGGAGGUCAUUGACCAAUUGACCUAAAGGGAUAACCGCCACUGACUGGAAGAAAACGACGUAUACGACCUCGACUCCGGUGGCUCUAUGAUAUAGAAGGAGAGAUAGCUUAAAGCUAUGGGCUUGGAGAAUUGGAUGGAGAUUGCUUAAGACAGAGAGAAAUGGCGGCAUAUUGUCGACUCGGCUAAAACCCAUGAUGGGUUGUAACGCCACGAAGUUGCACUAAUUUUUGGUAUUUGUGGGGCAUGCCGUCGAGAGGAAUUAGCAAAUCACCUUCCACAAAUCAUACGGAGUUAUUGGAAGUUCAUAGCAACUUACAACAGAGCAAAGUAGCAAAUUCCAACAUUUCUGUAAAUAAUUGUUCAAAUUGUGUUAUAAAUAUAAAAUUAUAGAUGUAGGAAACUUAUGUUUGAUUGCUAAAGUUAUAAUUCCUUUAUUAAAAUAAAAUA
rnacentral:lncRNA from 1 species